rnacentral:lncRNA from 1 species
GUGACAGAACCUGAGGAUACUUCUUGUGAGUCUUGGGUGUUUGUCGUGAAUGACCUUAUUGCAGGAUCAAGCCUUCUGAAAGCAGCAAGCCUUUCCUCGGUGGCAGGUGAUGAAGGACUUAUCAAGGACGACAGGUAGUGUAACGACUGUUUACUAGCAGCAGCGGCUAAUCCACUACUAACGGAAAUAUGACAGCUGUGAAUCCUUAUCACAACUGCCAUAUUGGGGGCAAUUGUUAGGGCAUGAAUUUUAUGCUAAGGAUCAUCUAUCCUGAGAUUGGGCAUGGAUCACGGAUUCU